rnacentral:lncRNA from 1 species
UUAAAAUACAUAUAUUUUAUUAAACCCUUUCUCCAUCAAAACUCUCUCAGAAUCGCAAACCCUUUCUCUCCACCAUGGUUCGCAAAACUCUCUCAAAAUCGCAGAAUCCUUUCGCAAAACUCUCUCUCAGAAUCGCAAAACCACCAUCGUUUCACAAUUGAAAAACUCCAUCAUCAAAAAAACACCAUCGUUUCACAAUCGCAAAACCACCAUCGUUUCG